UACGUAGGAUGCAAGCGUUGUCCGGAAUUAUUGGGCGUAAAGAGCGCGCAGGCGGUUUUACAAGUCAGAUGUGAAAUAUCCGGGCUUAACCCGGAGGGGUCAUUUGAAACUGUGAGACUAGAGUACAGCAGAGGAUAGCGGAAUUCCCGGUGUAGUGGUGAAAUGCGUAGAUAUCGGGAGGAACACCAGUGGCGAAGGCGGCUAUCUGGGCUGAAACUGACGCUGAGGCGCGAAGGCUAGGGGAGCAAACAGG
rnacentral:rRNA from 2 species